UACGUAGGGUGCAAGCGUUGUCCGGAAUUAUUGGGCGUAAAGAGCUCGUAGGCGGUUUGUUGCGUCGGCUGUGAAAUCCCGAGGCUCCAACCUCGGGUCUGCAGUCGAUACGAGCAAACUAGAGUGUUGCAGGGGAGACUGGAAUUCCUGGUGUAGCGGUGAAAUGCGCAGAUAUCAGGGAGGAACACCGGUGGGCGAAGGCGGGUCUCUGGGCAACAACUGACGCUGAGGAGCGAAAGCGUGGGGAGCGAACAGG
rnacentral:rRNA from 1 species